rnacentral:lncRNA from 1 species
AGUUUUCUGUGAUCUGGCUUCCGGCUACUUCUCAGGCAGCCUCUCCUGAACUCUCCCCAUUGACAUGCUCUGCCUCAGCCACACUGGCCUUGUGACUGGCCCUCCAACAUGCCAGGCAAUCUCUAUCUUGAGAG